CAUUAGAAUUGCUAAAAGCCAAGGACGUAUAGAAAAUCAAAAUUAAAAAUCAAAGAAUUGCUUACCUUAGAAAAAAUUCUAUAAUGUUUGCAUCUAAACAAAAGUAAAAUAAAAAUAAAAAUAAUAAGAUUACUCUUCGUGCAAAGGAGGUAGUAGUAGAAAAUUGUAAAAAGAGGAGUCGGAAAAUAGUAGUAGAAAAAAACUAGAAGUAUAGGUUGCUGGUCCAAGAUUUUUAUUGAAGCAAUUUUCUCAUAACUUGGGCCAAUCUGAAUUCAAGGGAAGGCAGCCCCAUCCAUGAGGGAUCCAGGGCGAUUCUAUAUUCUCUCUCUCUCUCUCUCUCUUUUUUUUCCCUUAUGUAACGACGUAGAGCUCCUUAAUUUGGGGGGGGGGGGGGGGGGGUUGCGGUUGUUUUCUUGUUUUUCCUAUGUCUGUGUUUCCCGGAGGUUUUUUUUGUUGCGGUUCUGAGGCGUAGAG
rnacentral:lncRNA from 1 species